AGAGUGAACGCUGGCGGUAGGCCUAACACAUGCAAGUCGAACGGCAGCACAGUGGUAGCAAUACCAUGGGUGGCGAGUGGCGGACGGGUGAGGAAUACAUCGGAAUCUACCUUUUCGUGGGGGAUAACGUAGGGAAACUUACGCUAAUACCGCAUACGCCCUUUGGGGGAAAGCCGGGGAUCGCAAGACCUGGCGCGGAUAGAUGAGCCGAUGUCGGAUUAGCUAGUUGGUGAGGUAAUGGCUCACCAAGGCGACGAUCCGUAGCUGGUCUGAGAGGAUGAUCAGCCACACUGGAACUGAGACACGGUCCAGACUCCUACGGGAGGCAGCAGUGGGGAAUAUUGGACAAUGGGCGCAAGCCUGAUCCAGCCAUACCGCGUGGGUGAAGAAGGCCUUGGUGUAAGCCCGUUUGUGGUAAGAAAGCAAUCGGUUAAUACCCGGUUGUUCGUAGACGGUACCAA
rnacentral:rRNA from 1 species